CGACGCACAAACAGUUCUUUGCUCAAUUAAAUGCUGUUACAUUUAAUUUGUCUAAAGCUUUUCUUUUAACAGAUGUUUAUAAGAUAGAUGUUCAUAAGCAAGAGAAUGUAACUCUAUUUGCCUUUAAAUACUUGUUAUGAAGAAGUUAUAUUUGGAAAGUUCUAAGAAAGCUGCAAUCACUUGCUGUUGCCGGAAACUGCCUUGUGGCCUGGCGUCCUGGGAAUUUGCUUGGCUUUUUGUGGCCGCCAUCCAAAACUGGGAACCACAAGUCAAAGGCAUUCAAUGCUAUAAACUUCAAUAGGCCCUAAAUCUUAUGAUUGAUGUCCUCAUAAGGGGAAAGGGAGUUGAAGACACUCCCUGAAGACACACAUAAAUGGAGAUGGCCAUGUGAAGUUGGAGGCAGAGAUUGAAGUGAUGUGUCUAUAAGUCAUGAACGCCAAGGAUUGCCAGAAGCUACCAGAAGCUAAAAGACAGGCAUAGAGCAAAUUCUUUCUCACAUCCUCCAGAAUGAACCAAUCCUACUAACACCUGGAUUUCAGACUUCCAACCUCUAGAACCAUGAAAGAAUAAAUUUUUGUUGCUUUAAGCCACCCAGUUUUGUG
rnacentral:lncRNA from 1 species